rnacentral:rRNA from 1 species
CGUGUAGGCGGUCAGGUAGGUCCGUUGUGAAAACUCGAGGCUCAACCUCGAGACGCCGAUGGAAACCAUCUGACUAGAGUCCGGAAGAGGAGAGUGGAAUUCCUGGUGUAGCGGUGAAAUGCGCAGAUAUCAGGAAGAACACCCGUGGCUAAGGCGGCUCUCUAGUACGGUACUGACGCUGAGACGCGAAAGCGUGGGGAGCGAACA